rnacentral:rRNA from 1 species
UACGAAGGGGGCUAGCGUUGUUCGGAAUCACUGGGCGUAAAGGGCGCGUAGGCGGCUUUAUAAGUCGGGGGUGAAAGCCUGUGGCUCAACCACAGAAUUGCCUUCGAUACUGUAGAGCUUGAGACCGGAAGAGGUAAGUGGAACUGCGAGUGUAGAGGUGAAAUUCGUAGAUAUUCGCAAGAACACCAGUGGCGAAGGCGGCUAUCUGGGCUGAAACUGACGCUGAGGCGCGAAGGCUAGGGGAGCAAACAGG